GACGAACGCUGGCGGCGUGCCUAACACAUGCAAGUCGAACGGGAUCCGCAAGGAUUCAGUGGCGCACGGGUGCGUAACACGUGAGGAACAUAGCCAUCGGCGGGGGAUAGCCGGCCCAACGGCCGGGUAAUACCGCGUACGAUCUUCGGGGGGCAUCCUCUGGAGAUGAAAGCAGCAAUGCGCCGAUGGGGUGCCUCGCGGCCUAUCAGCUAGUUGGUGAGGUAAGGCUCACCAAGGCUACGACGGGUAGCUGGCCCGAGAGGAUGACCAGCCACAUUGGGACUGAGACACGGCCCAGACUCCGUACGGGAGGCAGCAGUGGGGAAUAUUGGCGACAAGUACGGGGGAAACCCUGACGCAGCGACGCCGCGUGU
rnacentral:rRNA from 1 species